rnacentral:rRNA from 1 species
GGGCGAAAGCCUGACGGAGCAAUCUCCCGUGAGGGAUGACGGCCUAUGGGUUGUAAACCUCUUUUUUCAGGGAGGAAUAAAUGACGUGUACCUGAAGAAUAAGCAUCGGCUAACUCCGUGCCAGCAGCCGCGGUAAUAAAA